rnacentral:rRNA from 1 species
AUUGAACGCUGGCGGCAUGCUUUACACAUGCAAGUCGAACGGCAGCACGGGGGCAACCCUGGUGGCGAGUGGCGAACGGGUGAGUAACACAUCGGAACGUGUCCAGUUGUGGGGGAUAACCCAUCGAAAGGUGGGCUAAUACCGCAUGAGCUGGCAACAGGAAAGCGGGGGACCCGCAAGGGCCUUGUGCGAUUGGAGCGGCCGAUGUCCGAUUAGCUAGUUGGGUGGGGUAAAGGCCUACCAAGGCUUCGAUCGGUAGCUGGUCUGAGAGGAUGAUCAGCCACACUGGGACUGAGACACGGCCCAGACUCCUACGGGAGGCAGC